rnacentral:misc_RNA from 1 species
AGUGACACAACUUUUGACAUGUCAAAUGAACGAGCGAGUGCGCGGGGAUAAAUUACAACACCACGCGAGCACAGAGGCCAUUCGACCCCGAAAAUACAAAAAAAAAACACCGAAAGCUAUACCGACCCCCAAAGAGAUAGCGCGAUUGUGUGAUGUGAUGUGAUGGCCAGGGCCCAGAGACAGCCCAGAGAGAGCCCAAUGUGCAAGUUCUUGGUUAACAUUUCGGAGUACAAUUCUGGAUAAAAUUUCCUAGUAAACUUCUGGAUAUCUUUAUAAAAUUCAGCAACGAAUUUCCCAUUUUCUAAUGGAAUAAUAGAAUUCUUAUGCGACUUGUUCUGCCCAACCGUAGUCAUAUCGUCCUGUGGGUCCAGGCGGAUUCUGCGAGGAGGCAUUGGUAGUACGGCAUCGUCGGGGUUUUUCGUCUCGACAACGGUUGCCCACGAAUGCCUUUGUCCUUGGGCGACUCGGACCACUCCGAAUAGCACAGAACAAAAAAUGUUUGCUUAGUUUCGAGCUUCUGUUUUGUUUAAGAACUUCUACGGAUCAAAAACGUGUGGGCCUUGUGGAUCGUGCCCUCCCAUGUGCUGUGGAAGCUUCUGUGGUGGCUGUCGCUGAGUAAUAACGACAAUCGACAGGAUCUAAGCCUUCCAUCAACGCUCUGGUGACACCUGCAGAAAGCUAGAGCUCAAAGCUGACUCAAAAAAAUAGCUUUAGACUAGUUUUAUGAUAGUUUUACAAAUAAACCUUUUAAAAAUAAAACAAUUACGAA